UGGGGAAUUUUGGACAAUGGGCGCAAGCCUGAUCCAGCCAUGCCGCGUGAGUGAAGAAGGCCUUCGGGUUGUAAAGCUCUUUCGGCCGGGAAGAAAUCGCAUGGGUUAAUACCCUGUGUGGAUGACGGUACCGGAAUAAGAAGCACCGGCUAACUACGUGCCAGCAGCCGCGGUAAUACGUAGGGUGCGAGCGUUAAUCGGAAUUACUGGGCGUAAAGCGUGCGCAGGCGGUUUUGUAAGACAGGCGUGAAAUCCCCGGGCUUAACCUGGGAACUGCGUUUGUGACUGCAAGACUAGAGUACGGCAGAGGGGGGUGGAAUUCCACGUGUAGCAGUGAAAUGCGUAGAGAUGUGGAGGAACACCAAUGGCGAAGGCAGCCCCCUGGGUCGAUACUGACGCUCAUGCACGAAAGCGUGGGUAGCAAACAGGAUUAGAUACCCUGGUAGUCCACGCCCUAAACUAUGUCAACUAGGUGUUGGGUGGG
rnacentral:rRNA from 1 species